rnacentral:misc_RNA from 1 species
CCUGUAUCCAUUCCUCUGAUAUAUGGG